rnacentral:piRNA from 1 species
UUCCUUCAUUGGGCUCAGGGACCUUUUGU